GGUAACACGAAAUCGUACCCCAAACCGACACAGGUGGUCAGGUAGAGAAUACCAAGGCGCUUGAGAGAACUCGGGUGAAGGAACUAGGCAAAAUGGUGCCGUAACUUCGGGAGAAGGCACGCUGAUAGGUAGGUGAAGUCCCUGCGGACGGAGCUGAAAUCAGUCGAAGAUACCAGCUGGCUGCAACUGUUUAUUAAAAACACAGCACUGUGCAAACACGAAAGUGGACGUAUACGGUGUGACGCCUGCCCGGUGACGCUUGACUCUGAAGCGGGAAAGCGUAAUAUGCACACCCCGCGCCGCAGCGAAAACGAAGCGGCACUGCUCUUUAACAAUUUAUCAGACAAUCUGUGUGGGCACUCAAAGUGACAUGGAUUCUUAAUGUCCUCGGACGAUAAAUAAAUACCAAGUCUCAACGAGUGAACACGUAAUUCAUUACGAAGUUUAAUUCAUUGAGCAUCAAACUUUUAAAUUGAAGAGUUUGAUCAUGGCUCAGAUUGAACGCUGGCG
rnacentral:rRNA from 1 species